GACGAACGCUGGCGGCGUGCUUAACACAUGCAAGUCGAACGGAAAGGCCCUGCUUUUGUGGGGUGCUCGAGUGGCGAACGGGUGAGUAACACGUGAGUAACCUGCCCUUGACUUUGGGAUAACUUCAGGAAACUGGGGCUAAUACCGGAUAGGAGCUCCUGCUGCAUGGUGGGGGUUGGAAAGUUUCGGCGGUUGGGGAUGGACUCGCGGCUUAUCAGCUUGUUGGUGGGGUAGUGGCUUACCAAGGCUUUGACGGGUAGCCGGCCUGAGAGGGUGACCGGCCACAUUGGGACUGAGAUACGGCCCAGACUCCUACGGGAGGCAGCAGUGGGGAAUAUUGCACAAUGGGCGGAAGCCUGAUGCAGCAACGCCGCGUGCGGGAUGACGGCCUUCGGGUUGUAAACCGCUUCCGCCUGUGACGAAGCGUGAGUGACGGUAAUGGGUAAAGAAGCACCGGCUAACUACGUGCCAGCAGCCGCGGUGAUACGUAGGGUGCGAGCGUUGUCCGGAUUUAUUGGGCGUAAAGGGCUCGUAGGUGGUUGAUCGCGUCGGAAGUGUAAUCUUGGGGCUUAACCCUGAGCGUGCUUUCGAUACGGGUUGACUUGAGGAAGGUAGGGGAGAAUGGAAUUCCUGGUGGAGCGGUGGAAUGCGCAGAUAUCAGGAGGAACACCAGUGGCGAAGGCGGUUCUCUGGGCCUUUCCUGACGCUGAGGAGCGAAAGCGUGGGGAGCGAACAGGCUUAGAUACCCUGGUAGUCCACGCUGUAAACGGUGGGUACUAGGUGUGGGGUCCAUUCCACGGGUUCCGUGCCGUAGCUAACGCUUUAAGUACCCCGCCUGGGGAGUACGGCCGCAAGGCUAAAACUCAAAGGAAUUGACGGGGCCCCGCACAAGCGGCGGAGCAUGCGGAUUAAUUCGAUGCAACGCGUAGAACCUUACCUGGGUUUGACAUGGAUCGGGAGUGCUCAGAGAUGGGUGUGCCUCUUUUGGGGUCGGUUCACAGGUGGUGCAUGGCUGUCGUCAGCUCGUGUCGUGAGAUGUUGGGUUAAGUCCCGCAACGAGCGCAACCCUUGUUCACUGUUGCCAGCACGUUAUGGUGGGGACUCAGUGGAGACCGCCGGGGUCAACUCGGAGGAAGGUGGGGAUGACGUCAAGUCAUCAUGCCCCUUAUGUCCAGGGCUUCACGCAUGCUACAAUGGCUGGUACAGAGAGUGGCGAGCCUGUGAGGGUGAGCGAAUCUCGGAAAGCCGGUCUCAGUUCGGAUUGGGGUCUGCAGCUCGACCUCAUGAAGUCGGAGUCGCUAGUAAUCGCAGAUCAGCAACGCUGCGGUGAAUACGUUCCCGGGGCU
rnacentral:rRNA from 1 species